AAUGAACGUUAGCGGCGCGCCUGAUGCAUGCAAGUCGUACGGUCUAAUAAUUCGCAAGAGUAAUUAGAUAGUGGCGAACGGCUGAGUAACGCGUAAGUAACCUACCUCUAAGUGGGGGAUAACCUGCCGAAAGGCAAGCUAAUACCGCAUGUGCUGAAAAGCGUUAGUUUUUCAGUAAAGCUUCGGCGCUUGGAGAGGGGCUUGCGUCUGAUUAGCUAGUUGGUUGAGGUAAUGGCUCACCAAGGCGAUGAUCAGUAGCUGGUCUUAGAGGACGACCAGUCAGACAGGGACUGAGACACGGCCCUGACUCCUACGGGAGGCAG
rnacentral:rRNA from 1 species